rnacentral:lncRNA from 1 species
AAUGGUUCUAGCUACUCUGUGUACAUACCAGAAAGAGAUGUCAGAGAGAAGAGAGUAAUGAUCAAUGAGAAGUUGUCUAAGGUUCCAAAAAGUGAAGUGUUGGAAAUGAGAAAGGAGAUAAUAAGUCUUAUUCCAAGAAUAAUAUAUCGUUAUCCAAGUUCUAGAUCAGUGACCGUUGAAGAUGCAUUUGGUAUAGCAGUUAAGGGAAUUCUUGGGAGAAUAGAAGCAGUAAGAAGGAACAUUACAAAUGUCAAUUAUACCAUUUCCUAAUGUGCAGGAGACAAGGAUUCUAUGUUUCUCUUUGCCUCAGGUUCAAUUAUCCAGUCAGGUGAAAUUACAAAUUAAAUAAAAAAAUUCAGAAAAUAUAUCCCUUUUCGAGAUGGAUUUUAAAGGCACUCUUUUAAGAACUUGGAAUGGUCUUGCAGGCAGAAGAUGUUGUCACUUAGCUGCAUGUUCAGUUCAGUUUGAUUUUCACCCGGAUAAGACUUUGUUGUUAUUUUUUCAGAAUAGACAUAUCCUAUGUAUUUCCCCCAAUAAAUAUUGCGUUGUUAUUCAUUUUUAAGGCAAAGGUUCGAUCUCAAUUCUAAUGUGGUGAUGUCCUAGGUACAUACAUGUAUUUUUUUAUUCGUCUACCUUGUAUGGGGUUCAUUUAUUUGUAGAAGAAAAUCUUUGAACCUAUAACAGGGUUAUUUCUCAAAUCAAAGAAUUUGAGGUUGGAAAUGAAGAAUUCUGAAGCUAAUGAGACGGGGUGUUUAGGAAUAAAAUCAAAGACAAAAAUCUGAAUAUGUUUUGUUAAUAUCCAAUACAAUAAUAGUAAUCAAUCUCUAAUCAAGGAAGAAUUAAUAUGUAUCCGAAUGUCUUUAGUGAUGUGUCCAAUUGGACAUGUAUAGUGUGUUUGAAGUAGUAGACCGUUGAUGUUUGAGUUAGACGACUGAUGUGUGUGUAUAUGCUGUAGAAAUUCAUUUCUAAAGAAGAAAGAAAUACAUAAAUACGGGCAUAUACUUUUUCAAUAAUGAUUUUAUAUACUUUUUUUUGUUAUUUUUUAUAACCCUUUUUCCAUCAUUUUUUGUUUUUUUAUCUUUCCUUUUCUUUCUCUUCACUUGACCUAUUGCAUCUCACGUAUUUUUUGUUAUCUUUCUAUCUUUCUCAUCAUUCAAAAUAGAUACACUUCUAAAAAAUUAUAAGACCAUCAAUUUUCAUAAUUUUUAAGACAUCUUCCUUUUCACUAAUUUUUUUAAUAAAAAGAUAAAAAAUAUUAUUUCAUUGUAAUUUUUUUAAAGUAGAGAUAUAGUAAUCCUAUAAUUUAAUGUAAAUACACUAGCACUAAUCCAGUACUACAGAACUCAUCAGUCAGGAAACAACAAACCUGAGGAUCACUAAAUCAUAUAGCAGUUCAAUAACAAAAUUUGAUAAGAGGAUCAUGCUACUCCUUCAAACACACACCUGGAUUCAAGCACCACUGAACAUAUGAGUAUGAAAAGGAUGCAUCGAAAUUCUUGAGUCAGGUCCACGAAUGGAAAUUAAAAUAAUAUCCUGUAUGAUGUUCUGCCUAUGAAAGAUCUUUUCGUUUAAAUCAAUAUUAUCUAAUGNNNNNNNNNNNNNNNNNNNNNNNNNNNNNNNNNNNNNNNNNNNNNNNNNNNNNNNNNNNNNNNNNNNNNNNNNNNNNNNNNNNNNNNNNNNNNNNNNNNNAUAUAACGCGUGAUUUGUUAUAAUUUCCUUAACACUGUUUUUUAUUCUCAGAUAAAAAAAAAAAAAAGCAGCCACCACUUACCACGACGUUCCUCCUUAGCAGAUUAUCACCACUACGGAGCCUGUUUCUGACAAGUCUCCAAAGGAAAAAAAAAUGAUCUUUGGAGGGACUUUCAGAUUCCAAGUAUUUGCCAAAGUGUCAUCAAUACAAGAACCGAAUUGAAGAUCUCACAAAGCUAUGUAUGUAGUUUCCUGAUUGAUCUUUCCGCCACCUCCAUGAAUAAUCCAACACAGCCACUUCGAUCUCCAUUAAAAACCUCUUAAACACUUGGAUUUCCCAAGCAAACCACUCCCCUUGAACCCAUUUAUAUUCACCCAUUAUUCAUGAUCAUGACUCAUGAGUGUAGGCCAACAUUAAUUAUUUAAUUUUCCCAAUAUUUGAGUUUAGGAGAAUUAUAUAUUAUACGAAUUAAAACUGAAAAAUAAUGAAUGAGCAAUCACUUGCAGUGUGAUUAAAGAAGCUUUAAAAAAUAAGAAUACAUACAUACAUACCGUGAAUAAGGGAGAAGGGCUGCUGCCAUUAGGAAAAUGUGAUCCCUGAACGCACUCUUCCAAGUUCCAACUAGCAUCUUUCAACCUCUUCACAGUAACCCAGUAAUUAUGUAACUAUCAACCCCGUUUCCAUCACUUCCCAAUCAGCAAAUCCUCCAAACCAGGGCUUGUCCAUGGCGCCAGUGAACUGCUCCACUGCGUCAAGAAAACGAAUAGAAAACUGACUUAACUCCUUCGUGCAUACUUCAUUUGGCUCAGGGGAAUAUAGAUCAGUUGAUAGAACUCGGCUCUUGCAAUUUAAUCUUUGCAACUACGAGUUGAAUGUCUAAUUGUUCAGGCCAUAAUGAUAGAGGAUAAUGAUAGUAUCGUGUACUACCCUUUUU